rnacentral:miRNA from 14 species
GUAUGUAUGUAUGUAUGUAUGUAUGUAUGUAUGUAUGUAUACACACACACACACAUACACACAUAUAUAUUUAAAUUU